CUACGGGGCGCAGCAGUGGGGAAUAUUGGACAAUGGGGGAAACCCUGAUCCAGCAAUGCCGCGUGUGUGAAGAAGGCCUGCGGGUUGUAAAGCACUUUCGGUUGGGAGGACUGCUUCUAGCACUAAUAUUGUUGGAAGUUGACGUUACCUUCAGAAGAAGCACCGGCUAACUCCGUGCCAGCAGCCGCGGUAAUACGGAGGGUGCAUGCGUUAAUCGGAGUUACUGGGCGUAAAGCGCGCGUAGGCGGCUAGAUCAGUCGGGUGUGAAAGCCCCGGGCUUAACCUGGGAACUGCAUCCGAUACUGUCUAGCUUGAGUACAGGAGAGGAGAGUGGAAUUCCACAUGUAGCGGUGAAAUGCGUAGAUAUGUGGAGGAACACCAAUGGCGAAGGCAGCUCUCUGGCCUGAUACUGACGCUGAGGUGCGAAAGCGUGGGGAGCAAACAGGAUUAGAUACCCCAGUAGUC
rnacentral:rRNA from 1 species